AUUGAACGCUGGCGGAAUGCUUUACACAUGCAAGUCGAACGGUAGAGGGGGCAACCCCUUGAGAGUGGCGAACGGGUGAGUAAUAUAUCGGAACGUGCCCAGUCGUGGGGAUAACGUAGCGAAAACUACGCUAAUACCGCAUACGAUCUAUGGAUGAAAGCGGGGGAUCGCAAGACCUCGCGCGAUUGGAGCGGCCGAUAUCAGAUUAGGUAGUUGGUGAGGUAAAGGCUCACCAAGCCGACGAUCUGUAGCUGGUCUGAGAGGACGACCAGCCACACUGGGACUGAGACACGGCCCAGACUCCUACGGGAGGCAGCAGUGGGGAAUUUUGGACAAUGGGCGCAAGCCUGAUCCAGCAAUGCCGCGUGCAGGAUGAAGGCCUCGGUUGUAAC
rnacentral:rRNA from 1 species